rnacentral:rRNA from 1 species
CCAGACUCCUACGGGAGGCAGCAGUGGGGAAUAUUGCACAAUGGGGGAAACCCUGAUGCAGCGACGCCGCGUGAGUGAAGAAGUAUUUCGGUAUGUAAAGCUCUAUCAGCAGGGAAGAAAAUGACGGUACCUGACUAAGAAGCCCCGGCUAACUACGUGCCAGCAGCCGCGGUAAUACGUAGGGGGCAAGCGUUAUCCGGAUUUACUGGGUGUAAAGGGAGCGUAGACGGUGAUGCAAGUCAGAAGUGAAAGCCCGGGGCUCAACUCCGGGACUGCUUUUGAAACUGUGUGACUGGAGUGCAGGAGAGGUAAGCGGAAUUCCUGGUGUAGCGCUGAAAUGCGUAGAUAUCGCGCAGAACUCCGAUUGCGAAGGCAGCAUGCCGGCUCCACACUGACGCUGAGGCACGAAAGCGUGGGUAUCGAACAGGAUUAGAUACCCGCGUA